UACGUAGGGGGCAAGCGUUGUCCGGAAUCAUUGGGCGUAAAGAGCGGGUAGGCGGCCCGAUAAGUCCGCUGUGAAAGUCCAGGGCUCAACCCUGGGAUGCCGGUGGAUACUGUCGGGCUCGAGUCCGGAAGAGGAGUGUGGAAUUCCCGGUGUAGCGGUGAAAUGCGCAGAUAUCGGGAAGAACACCCGUGGCGAAGGCGGCUCUCUGGGACGGUACUGACGCUGAGACGCGAAAGCGUGGGGAGCAAACAGG
rnacentral:rRNA from 1 species